rnacentral:rRNA from 1 species
UACGGGAGGCAGCAGUGGGGAAUCUUGCGCAAUGGASGAAAGUCUGACGCAGAGACGCCGCGUGCGGGAGGAAGCUSUUCGGGGUGUAAACCGMUGUUGCCCGGGACGAAACGACCUUUGGAGGUCAUUGACGGUACCGGGUGAGGAAGCGCCGUCUAACUCUGUGCCAGCAGCCGCGGUAAUACAGAGGGCGCGAGCGUUGUCCGGAAUCACUGGGUGUAAAGGGAGUGUAGGUGGCGGCGUAAGGCCGCGGUGAAAGUUSGGGGCUCAACCCUGAAUCGGCCGCGGCGAGUGCGUCGCUUGGGCACUGUAGAGGCAGAUGGAAUUCCGGGUGUAGCGGUGGAAUGCGUAGAGAUCCGGAAGAACACCGGUGGCGAAGGCGGUCUGCUGGGCAGUGGAGUCGCAAGACUCCGUAGCCGACACUGAGGCGCGACAGCGUGGGGAGCAAACAGGAUUAGAUACCCUGGUAGU